AAGGAACUAGAUUUUUCAUAAAUCUAGAAAUUAUCUUGCUAAUAGAUCAAUAUCUGGCUCUUACUUUCUGUCUGUGUGUGUUUCAAUGUUAAUGUAGUAAAAGUAAACACUUCAAAUGCACCCUUAUCUGAACAUGGCUGUGAGGAGUCGGUUUCAAAUGUUCUGGAUACACAGUGGGAAGAGGGAAAUUGGUCAGUCCUGAUGCAGUCCCUGGGAAAAACAAUGCCCUCCUAUUACCUAAAAAUUCGACAGUAUAAAGUAAGAAUUAGGAAGAGCCAGGACAGUUCUGCAACACCCCGAAAAAAG
rnacentral:lncRNA from 1 species